CCCCCCACUCGAGGGUGAUGAGG
rnacentral:piRNA from 1 species